GCUGGCCACAGAACCAUGUCCUUUACAACCUACCUGGUCAAUAUUUGUAUCAGUGGCUUGAAUUUAAAAAAAAGAGAGAUAUUGUUACAAGUUCAUUCAUAUCGCAUAUGAAUGUGAUAUGAUGUAUUGGAGGAAAUGUAUUGAAUGACAGAAUACAAAUGCUGUGAAGAGACUUGGACUUUGGUUGUACCAAGUUUUCAUUAACUGAAGAAAUUUUCAACUAAUUAUCAAACUGGGAUUUUUUUUUUCAAACAUUUAUUG
rnacentral:lncRNA from 1 species